GAGCAAGAGCAUCUAAUCAAGAUAACGAAUCACUUGCAUUGAAGGUUAGCGAUAUCAUACAGCGAUUAUCCGUGCCUUUUAAAUCUAAUUCUUAUUUUGAUUACGGCCUCGAACAAAUCGCUACAUU